rnacentral:rRNA from 1 species
UACGAAGGGGGCUAGCGUUGCUCGGAAUUACUGGGCGUAAAGGGCUCGUAGGCGGCCAACUAAGUCAGACGUGAAAUCCCUCGGCUUAACCGGGGGAACUGCGUCUGAUACUGGAUGGCUAGAGGUUGGGAGAGGGAUGCGGAAUUCCAGGUGUAGCGGUGAAAUGCGUAGAUAUCUGGAGGAACACCGGUGGCGAAGGCGGCAUCCUGGACCAAUAUUGACGCUGAGGAGCGAAAGCCAGGGGAGCAAACGGG